GACGAACGCUGGCGGCGUGCUUAACACAUGCAAGUCGAGCGGUAAGGCCCUUUCGGGGUACGACGAGCGGCGAACGGGUAGAGUAACACGUGGGUGACCUCGCCCUCCAGCUCUGGGAGUAAGCCCGGGGAAACCGUAGGGUCGUAAUACCGGAUAUGACUUCAUGACGCAUGUUGUGGAGUGGAAAGACCUUGUGCGGCUGAGGAUGGGCCCGGCCGGCCUAUCAGCUU
rnacentral:rRNA from 1 species